rnacentral:rRNA from 1 species
GAUGAACGCUGGCGGCGUGCCUAAUACAUGCAAGUCGAGCGAAUGGAUUAAGAGCUUGCUCUUAUGAAGUUAGCGGCGGACGGGUGAGUAACACGUGGGUAACCUGCCCAUAAGACUGGGAUAACUCCGGGAAACCGGGGCUAAUACCGGAUAACAUUUUGAACCGCAUGGUUCGAAAUUGAAAGGCGGCUUCGGCUGUCACUUAUGGAUGGACCCGCGUCGCAUUAGCUAGUUGGUGAGGUAACGGCUCACCAAGGCAACGAGGCGUAGCCGAACGGAGAGGGUGAUCGGUCACACAGGGACUGAGACACGGCCCAGACGCCGACGGGAGGCAGCAGUAGGGAAUCUUCCGCAAUGGACGAGAGUCUGACGGAGCAACGCCGAGUGAGUGAUGAAGGCGUUCGGGUCGUAAAACUCUGUUGUUAGGGAAGAACAAGUGCUAGUUGAAUAAGCUGGCACCUUGACGGUACCUAACCAGAAAGCCACGGCUAACUACGUGCCAGCCGCAGCCGUAA